rnacentral:rRNA from 1 species
GAUGAACGCUAGCGACAGGCCUAACACAUGCAAGUCGAGGGGCAGCGAGGAUGUAGCAAUACAUUUGUCGGCGACCGGCGCACGGGUGAGUAACGCGUAUGCAACCUACCCGACACAGGGGGAUAACCCGAAGAAAUUCGGACUAAUACCGCAUAAAACAGGGGUCCCGCAUGGGAAUAUUUGUUAAAGAAUAUCGGUGUCGGAUGGGCAUGCGUUGUAUUAGCUAGUUGGUGAGGUAACGGCUCACCAAGGCUACGAUACAUAGGGGAACUGAGAGGUUAAUCCCCCACACUGGUACUGAGACACGGACCGGACUCCUACGGGAGGCAGCAGUGAGGAAUAUUGGUCAAUGGACGCAAGUCUGAACCAGCCAUGCCGCGUGCAGGAUGACGGCUCUAUGAGUUGUAAACUGCUUUUAUGCGAGGGUAAGCGCAGGUACGUGUACCUGUCUGAAAGUAUCGCAAGAAUAAGGAUCGGCUAACUCCGUGCCAGCAGCCGCCGUAACAC